GGUUUAUAAACUCAUCAAACCAUGUUUUAAUGUUUUCAGAGCACCAGAAGCAUCAUAAAUAUGCAUUCCAAACAUCAGAGUUAUCUGUUAUCUUUCUGUGCUUGUUUAUAAUUUUCCCACGAGAUGAUUUCCUAAUUAUAAACUUUGAUAUUAUUUUCUCUACCCAGUUCUUGUUCUCACAAGGGUUCCUUGAACAUCAAAAUUGCAAAAAUGAUGCUAAAAUAGCCAAACUAUGACCAUAGCUGAGUUUGAGCGUUUUUCCAAAUCUGCUAUUUUUUGCAUAAUUUUUGAAAUUCAUAGUGCUAUUCACCAAAGUGAGCAUUGUUGUGAAUUCAAUUUGAAUUUAAAAUUUAAGACCAAAAUAGCUCUCUUUCAAUUGUCAACAAUUCCCACUUUAGUUUAUAACCCAGUUUAUCGCAAUUCAGACUUGUUGCUUUUCUUACACAUGAAUUGUGGCACCUGUGGUUUAACCCCACGUCAUCGCAAGACACUGCGGAUGGUAGACAAGUGAAAU